AUGAAGCUAGAUAAUAGCAUGAAAUCAAUGAUAUCAGUGAAUAAGGUUCUGUUUUCUAGGGAAAGGAAGACCAAUGCUCAGUUGUUAGAUAGUCGGUGGGCUCUGGUUACUAAGGAAAUCAAGAGCAACGGUGACUUAAAAAGCCUUCGGAAAGAGCUAGCCGAGCUGCGGGAUGGGAUGCAAUUGAUGGAGCUGCUCAACCAGAAUCUCCUCACCGAGAAAAAAGCAAUGAACACCGAGUUGGUUGGAGUGCAGGAGGAGCUGGGAGAAGCAAGGAAGCAGCUAAUGCAGCUAGAUGAUAGCAUGGAAUCAAUGAAAUCGUUGAGUAAGGUUCUAUUUUAUAGGGAAAGAAAAAGCAAGGCUCGGUUGCUACAUACUCGGUGGGCUCUGGUUACCAAGGAAAUCAAGAGCAACGGUGACUUAAAAGGCCAUCAGGAAGAGCUAGCCGAGCUGCGGGGUGGGAUGCAAGAAUUGAGAUUCCUCAACCAGGCUCUGUGUUCUAGGGAAAGAGAAAGCAAUGGUCAGUUGUUACAUACUCGGUGGGCUAUGGUUACCAAGGAAAUCAAGAGCAACGGUGACUUAUGA
rnacentral:rRNA from 1 species